rnacentral:rRNA from 1 species
AGGAAGGUGGGAUGACGUCAAAUCAUCAUGCCCCUUAUGACCUGGGCUACACACGUGCUACAAUGGUUGGUACAACGAGUUGCGAGUCGGUGACGGCGAGCUAAUCUCUUAAAGCCAAUCUCAGUUCGGAUUGUAGGCUGCAACUCGCCUACAUGAAGUCGGAAUCGCUAGUAAUCGCGGAUCAGCAUGCCGCGGUGAAUACGUUCCCGGGCCUU